GCUGGUCUCAAACUCCUCACCUUAGGUGAUCCACCCGCCUCGACCUCCCAAAGCGCUGGGAUUACAGGCGUGAGCCAUCACACCCAGCCCAAUGCUGACAUUUCCUUAAAGAGUUCUUUCAUAACAAGCGUCAGUUAUUAUUUGGUGCCAGGCUUUGCAGAAAUGAGUGUUUACUUUCAGCUGCACAAGUGAUGACUAGAGGGAAAAAAAACUGCUGGUAAGGGAAGUGUUGACUGUUGCUGGUUGAAUAUUAAAAUUGUACCAGCUUUCAGCUUGUUGCACUUUAGUACCUUCUGCCAGUUCAAGUAAAAACUCUGUUGUAGCCCAGGAAAUACUGUAAAUGUGGAAUAUUGACUUACAGAGUGCGAUUAGCCUACCAAUCAGCUUCAGUAGAUGUGACUUUUGGUGGUUGCUUUCUCUCCUAAGUAUAAAUUUUAAAAGCUGAUGAGAAUGAAUAAAGCCAUGCAUAUUGAAUGUAAAGCAGAUUUUCAGAGUAUCUAUCUUAAUUUUUUUCCUUUUCUCCGUUGGUUUACAUAGGCUGAUGCGGAUAGUUUUUAUAUGGCAUGCAAUGGCCGCCAGUUCAACUCAAUAGAAGAUGACGUUUGCCAGCUAGUGUAUGUGGAAAGAGCUGAAGUGCUCAAAUCUGAAGAUGGCGCCAGCCUCCCAGUGAUGGACCUGACUGAGCUCCCCAAGUGCACGGUGUGUCUAGAGCGCAUGGACGAGUCUGUGAAUGGCAUCCUCACAACGUUAUGUAACCACAGCUUCCACAGCCAGUGUCUACAGCGUUGGGACGACACCACGUGUCCUGUUUGCCGGUACUGUCAAACGCCCGAGCCAGUAGAAGAAAAUAAGUGUUUUGAGUGUGGUGUUCAGGAAAAUCUUUGGAUUUGUUUAAUAUGCGGCCACAUAGGAUGUGGACGGUAUGUCAGUCGACAUGCUUAUAAGCACUUUGAGGAAACGCAGCACACGUAUGCCAUGCAGCUUACCAACCAUCGAGUCUGGGACUAUGCUGGAGAUAACUAUGUUCAUCGACUGGUUGCAAGUAAAACAGAUGGAAAAAUAGUACAGUAUGAAUGUGAGGGGGAUACUUGCCAGGAAGAGAAAAUAGAUGCCUUACAGUUAGAGUAUUCAUAUUUACUAACAAGCCAGCUGGAAUCUCAGCGAAUCUACUGGGAAAACAAGAUAGUUCGGAUAGAGAAGGACACAGCAGAGGAAAUUAACAACAUGAAGACCAAGUUUAAAGAAACGAUUGAGAAGUGUGAUAAUCUAGAGCACAAACUAAAUGAUCUCCUAAAAGAAAAGCAGUCUGUGGAAAGAAAGUGCACUCAGCUAAACACAAAAGUGGCCAAACUUACCAACGAGCUCAAAGAGGAGCAGGAAAUGAACAAGUGUUUGCGAGCCAACCAAGUCCUCCUGCAGAACAAGCUAAAAGAGGAGGAGAGGAUUUUGAAGGAGACCUGUGACCAAAAAGAUCUGCAGAUCACCGAGAUCCAGGAGCAGCUGCGUGAUGUCAUGUUCUACCUGGAGACCCAGCAGAAGAUCA
rnacentral:sRNA from 1 species